GAUGAACGCUGGCGGCGUGCCUAAUACAUGCAAGUCGAGCGAACAGACGAGGAGCUUGCUCCUUCGACGUUAGCGGCGGACGGGCGAGUAACACGUAGGUAACCUACCUAUAAGACUGGGAUAACUUCGGGAAACCGGAGCUGAUACCGGAUAAUAUUUCGAACCGCAUGGUUCGAUAGUGAAAGAUGGCUUUGCUAUCACUUAUAGAUGGACCUGCGCCGUAUUAGCUAGUUGGUAAGGUAACGGCUUACCAAGGCAACGAUACGUAGCCGACCUGAGAGGGUGAUCGGCCACACUGGAACUGAGACACGGUCCAGACUCCUACGGGAGGCAGCAGUAGGGAAUCUUCCGCAAUGGGCGAAAGCCUGACGGAGCAACGCCGCGUGAGUGAUGAAGGUCUUCGGAUCGUAAAACUCUGUUAUUAGGGAAGAACAAACGUGUAAGUAACUGUGCACGUCUUGACGGUACCUAAUCAGAAAGCCACGGCUAACUACGUG
rnacentral:rRNA from 1 species